rnacentral:rRNA from 1 species
UACGAAGGGGGCUAGCGUUGUUCGGAAUCACUGGGCGUAAAGCGCACGUAGGCGGACUUUCAAGUCAGGGGUGAAAUCCCGGGGCUCAACCUCGGAAUUGCCUUUGAUACUGUAGGUCUCGAGUCCGGAAGAGGUGGGUGGAAUUCCUAGUGUAGAGGUGAAAUUCGUAGAUAUUAGGAAGAACACCGGUGGCGAAGGCGGCCCAACUGGUCCGGUACUGACGCUGAGGUGCGAAAGCGUGGGGAGCAAACAG